rnacentral:rRNA from 1 species
AGCGAACGCUGGCGGCAGGCCUAACACAUGCAAGUCGAACGGAGUGGCGGACGGGUGAGUAACACGUGGGAACGUGCCCUUUGGUUCGGAACUACUCAGGGAAACUUGAGCUAAUACCGGAUGCCAUUGGAGCGGCCGGCGUCGGAUUAGCUAGUUGGUGAGGUAAAGGCUCACCAAGGCGUCGAUCAGUAGCUGGUCUGCGAGGAUGAUCAGCCACAUUGGGACUGAGACACGGCCCAAACUCCUACGGGAGGGAGCAGUGGUGAAUCUUGCGCAGUGGGCGAAAGCCUGACGCAGCCAUGCCGCGUGAAUGAUGAAGGUCUUAGGAUUGUAAAAUUCUUUCACCGGAGACGCGGUACCCGGAGAAGAAGCCCCGGCUAACUUCGUGCCAGCAGCCGCGGUAAUUC